GGGUGGAGAGGUGCUGGGGUGCAUGGGUACAUAGCUGUCCUCCGUAUUGUCCGAUGCUGAAGAGUAGAGCGGGGUGAAUCGACACGGCUUCCGAAAGGAGAAGGAAAAGAAAGAGCAUUCCAGUCAGCUGAACAACUCUAAUAAUCAAGCAAGGCUAAUCCAGACAUUGAUACAAAUUAGCCUGAACUAAACCCCACGCUUGAACACCCCCAGCUGAACUUUUGGGGUGGCCUAUCUCUGGAAUGGCAGGAGCCAAAACUCCCAAGACAGACAUCCUGCCAACUUUGGAAAAGUUCAGAUCUGAACUUGGCAGCUGAGGCUCGUGAUAGCUGGAAACAUGGGCCCAAAUGAAUUGUUGGCAUAAGCCGGUGCAAAUCCACGGACUUCCAAGGAAGAGCACUUGCCUAACCAGCAGCAGAUCUGAGCCACAAAAUGAAAGGAGGCUUAUAACGUAAGGAGCACUUUCACAUGUCACUCAUCUGAGGUAAAAGAGGUUGUCAAAUGUUUUCAGUGUUGAUCAGCUGCUGGACAGAACUCGUGGGAUUGUUUCCAUUGCAUGGUGGACAGAGGUAGUGUUCCUGUGAAGCAGUAGUGGGACUGGGUGGCAGAUUCUGUUAGCUUGAAUGGGUGAAAUUAUCCUGCUCAGCUCCAGUGCAGCAUAGCAUCCCGCUUUAUACCCAGUUUUCCAGCGAGGCUUUAUUGAGAUGCAGGGACAUCAGCUGAUUUGCUUAAUAUCACACUGGGCGCCACUGGUUCAUUUGGGAUUAUGUCCCAUUGCCAGCUUCUUCCUGUCUUCCAGUCCUUUGCUCUCUACAUGCUAAGAAACAUCCUCCUUCCAUGGAGUGUACUACCUGCAGCAGCAGAGGUAUUGUACUUAAAGGGGCACUUAACUCAAGUAAGCCUGAAUUUUGACUCAUUUAAGGAUGAAAAAAAUUCCAAGAGCCACAUGUGAUCACACUGUCAUGGCACAACAGCUCAGGAGGGGAAGGGAAGAGUUACCUUUCCAGUGCCGCACGUUAUCCAAACUGGACAAGG